GGCCCGUAGCUCAGUCAGUGGAGCGGCCCCCACGCCGGGGGACGGUCAGGGGUGCAAGUCCCCUCGGGCUGCCA
rnacentral:tRNA from 2 species